rnacentral:rRNA from 1 species
AGCGAACGUUAGCGGCGCGCCUAACACAUGCAAGUCGCACGAGGUAGCAAUACCUAGUGGCGCACGGGUGCGUAACACGUAGAUAAUCUGCCCUAGAGUGGGGGAUAACGUUCCGAAAGGAGCGCUAAUACCGCAUAAGACCGUGUCCGGUUCGCCGGAAGCGGGCAAAGCCUGGGACCGCAAGGCCAGGCGCUUGAGGAGCAGUCUGCGGCCCAUCAGCUAGUUGGUAAGGUAAUGGCUUACCAAGGCAAAGACGGGUAGCUGGUCUGAGAGGGUGAUCAGCCACACUGGUACUGGAACACGGACCAGACUCCUACGGGAGGCAGCAGUGGGGAAUCUUGGUCAAUGGGCGCAAGCCUGAACCAGCGACGCCGCGUGAGUGAUGAAGGCCUUCGGGUUGUAAAGCUCUGUGGGGAGGGACGAAAGACUGAGGUCUAAUAGGCUUCAGGUUGACGGUACCUCCUUAGCAAGCACCGGCUAACUCUGUGCCAGCCGCCGCGGUAACAC